CUUGCCCCUAGACAUGAUGCAGGUGUGCCUGCUGGGUCAUAUGUGUGUCUUAGUGGCACAGAAGAGAGGGGAUAUGUCUACUUAAUUGUCUAACCUAUGAACAUUUGAAUGAUUAGUAGUAGAUUAAU